UUCGGACUGGAGUCUGCAACCCGACUCCACGAAGUUGGAUUCGCUAGUAAUCGCGCAUCAGCCAUGGCGCGGUGGAUACGUUCCCGGGCCUUGUACACACCGCCCGUCAAGCCAUGGGAGCCGGGGGCGCCUGAAGUCCGGGACCGCGAGGACCGGCCUAGGGCGAAACUGGUAACUGGGCUAAGUCGUAACAAGGUAGC
rnacentral:rRNA from 1 species